AUUGAACGCUGGCGGCAUGCCUUACACAUGCAAGUCGAACGGCAGCACGGGAGCAAUCCUGGUGGCGAGUGGCGAACGGGUGAGUAAAGUAUCGGAACGUGCCCAGUCGUGGGGGAUAACGUAGCGAAAGUUACGCUAAUACCGCAUACGAUCUAUGGAUGAAAGCGGGGGAUCGCAAGACCUCGCGCGAUUGGAGCGGCCGAUAUCAGAUUAGGUAGUUGGUGGGGUAAAGGCUCACCAAGCCGACGAUCUGUAGCUGGUCUGAGAGGACGAGCACCCACACUGGGAGUGAGACGCGGCCCAGACUCCUACGGGAGGCAGCAGUGGGGAAUUUUGGACAAUGGGGGAAAGCCUGAUCCAGCCAUGCCGCGUGCAGGAUGAAGGCCUUCGGGUUGUAAACUGCUUUUGUACGGAACGAAAAGGUUUGGGCUAAUAAGCUGAGCUCAUGACGGUACCGUAAGAAUAAGCACCGGCUAACUACGUGCCAGCCGCCGCCGUAA
rnacentral:rRNA from 1 species